rnacentral:lncRNA from 1 species
UUUGUUUUUUCCCUCUUUAUUCUAUUUAGUGUGUCGUUAUCUUGUAUAUAUAUAAACAUAUAUAUAAGAAUCAAAUAUGAAUAACCCAUACGUCAUAUUUAAAACAUUUUCAAACAAUUUGUCUACGAUUUCAAUGAAUAACUCGUAAAAUACAACUAGUACUGGUUAAGUUAUUUCUAGGUUGAUUUUUCUAUUUAUGUUAUCUAUUUUUCUAUGUUUUUUAAUAGUUACGUGUUAUGUAGGGUUUGUUUUUUCCCUCUUUAUUCUAUUUAGUGUGUCGUUAUCUUGUAUAUAUAUAAACAUAUAUAUAAGAAUCAAAUAUGAAUAACCCAUACGUCAUAUUUAAAACAUUUUUAAACAAUUUGUCUACGAUUUCAAUGAAUAACUCGUAAAAUACAACUAGAACUGGUUAAGUUAUUUCUAGGUUGAUUUUUCUAUUUAUGUUAUCUAUUUUUCUAUGUUUUUUAAUAGUUACGUGUUAUGUAGGGUUUGUUUUUUCCCUCUUUAUUCUAUUUAGUGUGUCGUUAUCUUGUAUAUAUAUAAACAUAUAUAUAAGAAUCAAAUAUGAAUAACCCAUACGUCAUAUUUAAAACAUUUUCAAACAAUUUGUCUACGAUUUCAAUGAAUAACUCGUAAAAUACAACUAGUACUGGUUAAGUUAUUUCUAGGUUGAUUUUUCUAUUUAUGUUAUCUAUUUUUCUAUGUUUUUUAAUAGUUACGUGUUAUGUAGGGUUUGUUUUUUCCCUCUUUAUUCUAUUUAGUG